rfam:Oryctolagus cuniculus chromosome 12, whole genome shotgun sequence.
CCAAAGGCUCUUUUCAGGGCCACUCCCUUUCUUGUUUAAAGCGCUGU